AUACGUAGGGGGCAAGCGUUAUCCGGAAUUAUUGGGCGUAAAGAGUGCGUAGGUGGUUUUGUAAGCGCGGGGUGAAAGGCUAUGGCUCAACCAUAGUAAGCCUUGCGAACUGUGAGACUUGAGUGCAGGAGAGGAAAGUGGAAUUCCUAGUGUAGCGGUGAAAUGCGUAGAUAUUAGGAGGAACACCAGUGGCGAAGGCGACUUUCUGGACUGUAACUGACACUGAGGCACGAAAGCGUGGGGAGCAAACAGGAUUAGAUACCCUGGUAGUCCACGCCGUAAACGAUGAGCACUAGGUGUCGGGGCCGCAAGGUUUCGGUGCCGCAGUUAACGCAUUAAGUGCUCCGCCUGGGGAGUACGCACGCAAGUGUAAAACUCAAAUGAAUUGACGGGG
rnacentral:rRNA from 1 species